CGGAGGGUGCAAGCGUUAUCCGGAUUCACUGGGUUUAAAGGGUGCGUAGGUGGGCUGAUAAGUCAGUGGUGAAAUCUCUAGGCUUAACCUGGAAACUGCCAUUGAUACUAUCGGUCUUGAAUCUCGCGUAGGUAAGCGGAAUAUGUCAUGUAGCGGUGAAAUGCUUAGAUAUGACAUAGAACACCAAUUGCGAAGGCAGCUUACUUCACGAGUAUUGACACUGAGGCACGAAAGCGUGGGGAGCAAACAGGAUUAGAUACCCUGGUAGUCCACGCCCUAAACGAUGGAUACUCGACAUCAGCGAUACACUGUUGGUGUCUGAGCGAAAGCAUUAAGUAUCCCACUGGGAAGUACGACCGCAAGGUUG
rnacentral:rRNA from 1 species